AGGUGACCUGCGGNAGGAUCAUUA
rnacentral:rRNA from 2 species